rnacentral:rRNA from 1 species
GAUGAACGCUGGCGGCGUGCCUAAUACAUGCAAGUCGAGCGAACAGAUGAGGAGCUUGCUCCUCUGACGUUAGCGGCGGACGGGUGAGUAACACGUGGAUAACCUACCUAUAAGACUGGGAUAACUUCGGGAAACCGGAGCUAAUACCGGAUAAUAUAUUGAACCGCAUGGUUCAAUAGUUAAAGACGGUUUUGCUGUCACUGAUAGAUGUAUCCGCGCCGCAUUAGCUAGUUGGUAAGGUAACGGCUUACCAAGGCAACGAUGCGUAGCCGACCUGAGAGGGUGAUCGGCCACACUGGAACUGAGACGCGGUACAGACUCCUACGGGAGGCAGCAGUAGGGAAUCUUCCGAAAUGGGCGAAAGCCUGAAGGAGCAACGCCGCGUGAGUGAUGAAGGUCUUCGGAUCGUAAAACUCUGUUAUUAGGGAAGAACAAAUGUGUAAGUAACUAUGCACGUCUUGACGGUACCUAAUCAGAAAGCCACGGCUAACUACGUG